CAACAAUUGUCUUUUGUACUGUUGGUCAGAAUAAAUCUUAACAAAAUGGUCACUGCGGAGGCUAAGGGACUGGGCUGCUGACCUGUGGGUGAUGUCUAGAGAAUUUGAUUUGUGUGUCAGUUAUGCUUUGUUUUUGUAUUGUUACCUGCUAAUUUAUACCUCAAUGUAUUGGAACCUUGA